rnacentral:rRNA from 1 species
AUUGAACGCUGGCGGCAUGCCUUACACAUGCAAGUCGAACGGUAACAGGUCUUCGGAUGCUGACGAGUGGCGAACGGGUGAGUAAUACAUCGGAACGUGCCCGAUCGUGGGGGAUAACGGAGCGAAAGCUUUGCUAAUACCGCAUACGAUCUACGGAUGAAAGCAGGGGACCGCAAGGCCUUGCGCGGACGGAGCGGCCGAUGGCAGAUUAGGUAGUUGGUGGGAUAAAAGCUUACCAAGCCGACGAUCUGUAGCUGGUCUGAGAGGACGACCAGCCACACUGGGACUGAGACACGGCCCAGACUCCUACGGGAGGCAGCAGUGGGGAAUUUUGGACAAUGGGCGCAAGCCUGAUCCAGCCAUGCCGCGUGCAGGAUGAAGGCCUUCGGGUUGUAAACUGCUUUUGUACGGUAACGAAAAGGAACUACUUUCUAAUAAAGAGGGUCCAUGACGGUACCGUAAGAAUAAGACACCGGCUAACUACGUAGCCAAGCAGCCGCGGU